UUUGGUUUCGGCGGGUUGCCGCCGGAUUGAAAGGGAACUGCGGUGCGCCAUCCGGCAAGGCCGCGGCUGCCCCCGCAACUGUAAGCGGUGAGCGAAGGCCGAACAUGUCACUGGGGGCAGCCCCGGGAAGGCCGGUCCAAGCCCUGACCCGCAAGCCAGGAGACCUGCCAGAGCG
rnacentral:ncRNA from 1 species